rnacentral:rRNA from 1 species
GUGCCAGCAGCCGCGGUAAUACGUAGGUGGCAAGCGUUAUCCGGAAUUAUUGGGCGUAAAGCGCGCGUAGGCGGUUUUUUAAGUCUGAUGUGAAAGCCCACGGCUCAACCGUGGAGGGUCAUUGGAAACUGGAAAACUUGAGUGCAGAAGAGGAAAGUGGAAUUCCAUGUGUAGCGGUGAAUGCGCAGAGAUAUGGAGGAACACCAGUGGCGAAGGCGACUUUCUGGUCUGUAACUGACGCUGAUGUGCGAAAGCGUGGGGAUCAAACAGGAUUAGA